AGGUCUGUCGCCAAGCGGUAAGGCAACGGGUUUUGAUCCCGUCAUCCCUAGGUUCGAAUCCUAGCAGACCUGCCA
rnacentral:tRNA from 1 species